rnacentral:rRNA from 1 species
GAUAACCUGGCGGCUGGCUGAUCAUGCCUGUCGAUCGAACGCACGGAGAAGCUUGCUUCUCUGAUGUUAGCGGCGGACAGGUGAGUAACACGAGCAUAACCUACCUAUAACACUGGGAUAACUUCUGGAAACCGGAGCUAAUACCGGAUAAUAUUUUGAACCGCCUGGUUCAAAAGUGGAAGAAGGUCUUGCUGUCACUUAUAUGAUGGAUCCGCGCUGCGUUAGAUACUUGGUAAGGUAACGGCUUAGCUGACGCAAUCGAUGCAUCACCGACCUGAGAGGGUGAUCCGCCACCCUGCAACUGACGCGCGGUCCAUACUCCUACGGGAGGCAGCACUAUGGAAUCUUCCGCACUGGGCGAAAGCCUGACGGAGCAACGCCGCGUGAGUGAUGAAGGUCUUCGCAUCACAGAACUCUGUUAUUCGGGAAGAACAUAUGUGUAACUAACUGUGCACAUCUUGACGGUACCUAAUCAUAAAGCCACGCCUAACUUCGUGCCAGCAGCCGCAGUAAU